GCCGCGAUAGCUCAGUUGGUAGAGCGCAUCCAUGGUAAGGAUGAGGUCACGGGUUCAAGCCCCGUUCGUGGCUCCA
rnacentral:tRNA from 2 species